ACAAAAGCGGACCCGGGGGCGGAGCCAGACGAGGAAGCGGAAGCGGCGGUCUGGGAUCCGCUACCCGCGCUGGCCUCGGCCCCACGUGUCGAGUUGCUACGAUGGAAGUCAAAGGGAAAAAAAACAUUACAGGAAAGAGUACAAAGGCAUCACAAGAAAAAAAAAACAGACUUCAUAAAAACAGCGUAGAUUCUGGUUCUUCAAGGACAUUCCCAAGAAAAGUUGUUAAGGAAGGUGGACUUAAAAUCACUUCUAAGAACUUUGAGAAAAGUGCCACAAAACCUGGGAAGAAGGGUGUUAGGCAAUUUAAGAAUAAGCAACAAGGGGACAAAGCACUGAAGAACAAAUUCCAGCAGGCAAAUAAAUUCAACAACAAGAGAAAAUUCCAGCCAGACAGUAAAAGUGAUGAAUCAGCAGCCAAGAAACCCAAAUGGGAUGAUUUCAAAAAGAAGAAGAAAGAACUGAAGCAGAGCAGGCAACUCAGUGAUAAAACCAACUAUGACAUUGUUGUUCGGGCAAAGCAGAUUUGGGAGAUUUUAAGAAGAAAAGACUGUGACAAAGAAAAAAGAAUAAAGUUGAUGAGUGACUUGCAGAAGUUGAUUCAAGGGAAAAUUAAAACUAUUGCGUUUGCACAUGAUUCAACUCGGGUGAUCCAGUGUUACAUUCGCUAUGGUAAUGAAGAACAGAGAAAACAGGCUUUUGAAGAAUUGCGAGAUGAUCUGGUUGAAUUAAGUAAAGCCAAAUAUUCCAGAAAUAUUGUUAAGAAAUUUCUCAUGUACGGAAGUAAACCACAGAUUGCGGAGAUAAUCAGAAGUUUUAAAGGCCAUGUGAGGAAGAUGCUGCGGCAUGCAGAAGCGUCAGCCAUCGUGGAGUAUGCAUACAAUGACAAAGCCAUUUUAGAACAGAGGAACAUGCUGACGGAGGAGCUCUACGGGAACACGUUUCAGCUUUACAAGUCAGCAGAACACCCAACUCUGGAGAAAGUGUUGGAGGUACAGCCAGAAAAAUUGGAGCUUAUUAUGGAUGAAAUGAAACAGAUUUUAACUCCCAUGGCCCAAAAGGAAGCUGUGAUUAAACACUCAUUGGUGCAUAAAGUGUUCUUGGACUUUUUUACCUAUGCACCCCCCAAACUCAGAUCAGAAUUGAUUGAAGCCAUCCGCGAAGCGGUGGUAUACCUGGCACACACACACGAUGGCGCCAGAGUGGCCAUGCACUGCCUGUGGCAUGGCACACCCAAGGACAGAAAAGUGAUUGUGAAAACAAUGAAGACUUAUGUCGAAAAGGUGGCUAAUGGCCAAUACUCCCAUUUGGUUUUACUGGCAGCGUUUGAUUGUAUUGAUGAUACUAAGCUUGUGAAGCAGAUAAUCAUAUCAGAAAUUAUCAGUUCUUUGCCUAACAUAGUAAAUGACAAAUAUGGAAGGAAGGUCCUAUUGUAUUUACUAAGCCCCAGAGAUCCUGCACAUACGGUACGAGAAAUCAUUGAAGUUCUGCAGAAAGGCGAUGGAAAUGCACACAGUAAGAAAGAUGCAGAGAUCCGUCGAUGCGAGCUCUUAGAAUCCAUUUCUCCAGCUUUGUUAAACUACCUACAAAAACACACCCAAGAAGUGGUGCUGGAUAAGUCUGUGUGUGUGUUGGUGUCCUGCAUCUUGGGAUCUGCCACUGGAGACAUUCAGCCUGCCAUGAGUGCCAUUGCCAACUUGGCAGCAGCAGAACUUCACCCCGGGGGCAAGGAUGGAGAGCUUCAUGUUGCAGAACAUCCUGCUGGACAUCUAGUUCUGAAGUGGUUAAUAGAGCAAGAUAAAAAGUUGAAAGAAAAUGGAAGAGAAGGUUGUUUUGCAAAAACACUUGUAGAGCAUGUUGGUAUGAAGAACCUGAAGUCCUGGGCUAGUGUGAAUCGAGGUGCCAUUAUUCUUUCUAGCCUUCUCCAGAGUUCUGACCAGGAAGUUGCAAACAAAGUCAAAGAUGGACUGAAAAGCCUGAUUCCCACUUUGGAAAAAAACAAAAACACCAGCAAAGGAAUAGAAACUCUACUUGAAAAACUGACUGCAUAGGUGGAGACAGUUAAGAACAAGAUGGAAUAUUGUUCCUGUUCUCUGUUCUGUUUUCCCAGUGCACAAAAGAGAGGCUAGGGUCCACCUGACUGCCUGGCGAGGCUCCCAUGUUAUUCUAGUAUCCAGUCCUUUCCACGAGGCUCAGAUAUCCUGACUGGUAUAUUUCAGUGUUUC